rnacentral:rRNA from 1 species
AUAUUGGAACGUACCGAGUAAUGGGGGAUAACUAUCCGAAAGGAUAGCUAAUACCGCAUACGCUUUGAGAAGGAAAGCAGGGGAUCUUCGGACCUUGCGUUAUUCGAGCGGCCAAUAACUGAUUAGCUAGUUGGUGGGGUAAGGGCCUACCAAGGCGACGAUCAGUAGUGGGUCUGAGAGGAUGAUCCGCCACACUGGGACUGAGACACGGCCCAGACUCCUACGGGAGGCAGCAGUGGGGAAUUUUGGACAAUGGGCGAAAGCCUGAUCCAGCCAUGCCGCGUGUCUGAAGAAGGCCUUCGGGUUGUAAAGGACUUUUGUUAGGGAAGAAAAGGUUGAUGCUAAUAUCAUUAACUGAUGACGGUACCUAAAGAAUAAGCACCGGCUAACUACGUGCCAGCAGCCGCGGUAAUACGU